CCUACGGGGGGCUGCAGUGGGGAAUAUUGGACAAUGGGGGGAACCCUGAUCCAGCCAUGCCGCGUGUGUGAAGAAGGCCCUCGGGUUGUAAAGCACUUUCAGUGAGGAAGAACGCCUGGUGGUUAAUACCCAUCAGGAAAGACAUCACUCACAGAAGAAGCACCGGCUAGCUCCGUGCCAGCAGCCGCGGUAAUACGGAGGGUGCGAGCGUUAAUCGGAAUUACUGGGCGUAAAGCGCGCGUAGGUGGCUUGAUAAGCCGGUUGUGAAAGCCCCGGGCUCAACCUGGGAACGGCAUCCGGAACUGUCAAGCUAGAGUGCAGGAGAGGAAGGUAGAAUUCCCGGUGUAGCGGUGAAAUGCGUAGAGAUCGGGAGGAAUACCAGUGGCGAAGGCGGCCUUCUGGACUGACACUGACACUGAGGUGCGAAAGCGUGGGUAGCAAACAGGAUUAGAUACCCUUGUAGUC
rnacentral:rRNA from 1 species